rnacentral:rRNA from 1 species
UACGUAGGGUGCGAGCGUUAAUCGGAAUUACUGGGCGUAAAGCGUGCGCAGGCGGUUCGUUAUGUCCGAUGUGAAAGCCCCGAGCUCAACUUGGGAAUGGCAUUGGAAACUGGCGGGCUGGAGUGUGGCAGAGGGGGGGUGGAAUUCCACGUGUAGCAGGUGAAAUGCGUAGAGAUGUGGAGGAACACCGAUGGCGAAGGCAGGUCUCUGGGCCGAUACUGACGCUGAGGAGCGAAAGCGUGGGGAGCGAACAGG